GGAAGGCAGUGGCGCCGGCGAGUGCCUUUCGCCGGAGUCCCGUGCGGCUUUGACCUGCGCGAGGCUCCGUCGAGCUGUGCUCGUCCGUGCCCUUUGCGAGGCUGGCGUGCGCGUGCGGGACGGCGACGACGACGAACGUGCGAGGGGGCAUGGCCACCGGCCGGUGCGGCGGACGGCGAGGCCGCCCGAGCUGGCUCGCGGACGUUAGAUGGUUGCCACGGCGGUGCCACAGCCCCAAGACUUGAGGAAAUGUCGCCCGCAGGUUGUGUAUGCUGGGAAGGCUGGUGAUGCAAGAUAUCAGGCGAAUCCUCAGACCUCUUCUUAUGGUUUAAAUAAAAUUUGAAAAUGGAAGGGCUGUCUGUACUCAUUUCAAGCACCAAUGCAACAAGAAAUAAUCGACUUCAUUGGUGUUGAAGAGGAGGUAGAUAUAUCAGGCAGCUAUUUAAGAGCAGUGGAAAGGAGGUUUCUGGUUAUACUCACUGUGAGCUGUAUCUUUCUUUUUUAUUGGGAUUAAGUUGUGGCCUUAUCCCUUUUGCAAAUCUCAAUUUUGCUUGAGGAGUGAUUGACCUGUCGGAAAACACUCGCAGCAAGCUAUUGGAUUCUCCACAAUAAAUCCACUUAUCAGAGGUUAUACUCUUUCCCAUGAACUUUACUUCGCUCAGAGGCCCCUUUCCAAAAUAGUUACAGCUAAUGGCAUUGGCAGAUCAGAUUAUACUUUUGGAAGUAAAGAUGACUUUGCUAGGCCUGAAUAUUUCAAUGGACACGAUGCGAUAGUGGCAGUCAAUGUUCAUCAGGGAUUUAACAAAGAGGAUUCCCUGAUCAUGAAGAGUUUCUCUUGAAUGGUGCAUGUUUAGAUUGAACUCAUGCGGAGCUAUAAGGCAGAAGUAGAGACCAAAUGGCCCAAAUAACGACUGGCAAUGAAGGAAAAUUUAGACUUUGGUAGAAUUUAAAGCAAGGGACGAAGAGUUGACAAUCUUGAUGACGAUGGAUCACCACAUGUGGGUGCAAUCCUCAGAGUGGUGACACUGUCAUUGGGGAAGUGGCAGAAUCUGGUGAAGACCAUAGGCUGAUUCUUUUUCUUAUGUGAGUGAUAUGGUAGAGAGAGGUGCAUUCACUCGUACGCAUGUUUGAUCUCAUGUUUGCGAGGCGCAAUGGGCUAGUAGUUUUAAACCAACCGAACAGCAAAAACUUGCAAACAUAUUAUAAUAAUACUUAGUUCUGGAUAUGUGGGUACUAAAGGGACGUGUUACCCUGUUAUAUUUUCCUCUUGAAUAUAGUGAAUUGCCAAGGAACAUCAUGAAUGAUGUUUUUUCUACUCCUAGAAAACUGCAUCGUAUCAUGUAGGAUUGGAAAUGGACAAAAAUAGCAUGAGAACAGAAAUUCUGAGAUGGAUGUAUACAGAACUCAACACAUCUUUGAUUUAAUACACAGCCUAAGGGUUCCUGACACUAAAAGCCCCAACAUGAGAUCAAAGGCUGUGCCUCUGGUUCUAUAUUAACCAUGUCUUUAUAUUUUGCAUUUUUGUCAGUGACUAACCUGUGUGUGCUUUGGCUGGAAGAGUCAUUGUCCAGUCCUAGUGCUUGAUAUGAGAUGUCGGUUAUCCGAAAGUCUGUAAUGCCAGAGAACAAAUGAGUUUUCGUUGAAAUAUUUCUCAAGGCAGCUGGGCAACUGUUUCGUUUGGAGAAAACAAUGCUGUCAACUGGAAAGGAAAAGCCACACAGACACACCGUCAACAUAUUGUGCAUUGAUGGUUGGCAUAUUUGGCGGAACGCAGGCGGCACACACAAGAUGUUACAGCAAAAAAGUUUCUGAUAUGUGCAAAGAAGAAGCGGGGCAUCAAUGUUUCAAUAGACAUUGCUGGACUCCACCUCCAGGCAUGGUGCUACUCAUUCUCAGGCUGACUUUUCUGAAAGAUCAUGUUAACAGCUUGACCUCUAACUCAUCUCCAUUAAGAUGGCAAGGGGAAUUGGGACACGCAUUAAGGUGUAUGGUAACAUUGUUCGUUAGAUUUAUGUGAAUAAUUGUAUUUACCCUUUUUUUCAUUGUUGUUAAGAAGCAUUAUCUAUCACUUCAAAAAAGAGAGGAAGCAUCAAUUAUGUGUGGUAACAAUGAGGUUUAAUGAAGUUACACGUCAGGAGGAGCACCCCAGCCACCAGUCCAUUUUAUUCUCUUUAUAUUAAGUUA